GAACGUUGGCGGCAUGCCUUACACAUGCAAGUCGAACGCGAAAGUGGGGGCAACCCUGCGAGUAGAGUGGCGAACGGGUGAGUAACACAUCGGAACGUACCCAGGAGUGGGGGACAACCUCGAGAAAUCGAGGCUAAUACCGCAUACGUCCUGAGGGAGAAAGCGGGGGAUUCGCAAGGACCUCGCGCUCAUGGAGCGGCCGAUGUCGGAUUAGCUAGUUGGCGGGGUAAAAGCCCACCAAGGCUACGAUCCGUAGCUGGUUUGAGAGAACGACCAGCCACACUGGGACUGAGACACGGCCCAGACUCCUACGGGAGGCAGCAGUGGGGAAUUUUGGACAAUGGGGGCAACCCUGAUGCAGCGACGCCGCGUGAGCGAUGAAGCCCUUCGGGGUGUAAAGCUCUUUCGGCAGGAACGAUAAUGACGGUACCUGAAGAAGAAGCUGCGGCUAACUACGUGCCAGCAGCCGCGGUAAUACGUAGGCAGCAAGCGUUGUUCGGAGUUACUGGGCGUAAAGAGUGCGUAGGCGGUUCUCUAAGUUUGGUGUGAAAUCUCCCGGCUCAACUGGGAGGGUGCGCCGAAGACUGGAAAGCUUGAGUGUGGGAGAGGUAAGCGGAAUUCCUGGUGUAGCGGUGAAAUGCGUAGAUAUCAGGAGGAACACCGGUGGUGUAGACGGCUUACUGGACCACUACUGACGCUGAGGCACGAAAGCGUGGGG
rnacentral:rRNA from 1 species